CGAACGAUACAGUGGCAAACGGGUGCGUAACACGUAGGAAUCUGCUCUCAUCUCGGGUAUAGCUCAUCGAAAGAUGGGGUAAUCCCCGAUAGUCCCUCACGGGUAAAGAUUUAUCGGAUGAGAAGGAGCCUGUGGCCUAUCAGCUAGUUGGCGGGGUAAAUGCCCACCAAGGCUAUGACGGGUAGCUGGUCUGAGAGGACGACCAGCCACACUGGAACUGAGACACGGUCCAGACUCC
rnacentral:rRNA from 1 species